AUGGUGGACGGCGUCUCCGUCGUCAAGCAAGCUCAUGAUCUUACAUCUAUUGUGAGUGAGUUGGCUCAGUUUGAUGUGAACGUCAAUGCCAAGUUUGUGGUGGGGGGCAUCAUUGCCAAACUCCCUCCUUCAUGGAGAGAUUUUGCCACCACGCUUAAGCACAAGAGGGAGGCAAUGAGGGUUGAUGACCUGAUUGCUCACCUUGAUGUGGAAGAGAAGGCACGUGCUAAAGACACACCUUCCAUGGCAAAUGACGGCACCUCAAACGCCAACUUUGUGCAGAAAUCUGGUGCUAAGUACAAGGGGAAACAACAGAAUCCAAAGGCCAAGAAUACAACCAACUUUAAGAAGAAGAAGGAAGGCAUAAUCUGCUAUGUGUGUGGUGAGCCUGGCCACAAGGCCAAUAAAUGCCACAAUAGGAAGGGCAAGAAGGGUGGGCAGCAGAACGGACAGAACACUGUCAACGUGGUUGUUAGCGAGCCUAGUACUGCGGGGCUACAAGCGGUUCCCCCAUCUUGA
rnacentral:rRNA from 1 species